ACUCCAUGACUAAUCACCUGCAGCCAAGGGUGGGUCAUACUAUGGGAACAGCAGACCAAAGGCAUCCACUGCCAGACCGUGAGUUAUCAACUGCAGCCAAGGCUGGGUCAUACUACGGGAACAGCGGACCGAAGGCAUCCACUGCCAGACCGUGAGUUAUCAACUGCAGCCAAGGCUGGGUCAUACUACAGGAACAGCGGACUGAAGGCAUCCACUGCCAGACCGUGAGUUAUCAACUGCAGCCAAGGCUGGGUCAUACUACGGGAAGAGCGGACCGAAGGCAUCCACUGCCAGACCGUGAGUUAUCAACUGCAGCCAAGGCUGGGUCAUACUACGGGAACAGCGGACUGAAGGCAUCCACUGCCAGACCAUAAGUUAUCAACUGUAGCCAAGGGUGGGUCAUACUAUGGGAACAGCGGACUGAAGGCAUCCACUGCCAGACCGUGAGUUAUCAACUGCAGCCAAGGCUGGGUCAUACUACGGGAACAGCGGACUGAAGGCAUCCACUGCCAGACCAUGAAUUAUCAACUGAAGCCAACGGUUAAUAUCCAGAGUCACACGUGGAGAGGAAGCAUCACAAUGAGACCAUACAACCAUAUAAUCUGUUCAAGUCCUAGAAGGUGUUGGCAGAGCUGCAGGACUGACCUAGGUCAAUGGCUGUGGGACCACAGGGAAGAAAAGACACCAGAUGUUUCCGAUCAAGAGACAAGAGAAACAUUCAGCGUGACCCUAGAAAAUCUUUCUAAAGAGAUUUCACAACACUCAGCUCAUGUUUCGGGUCCAUGAAACCAUCUUUAGAUGAAUGAUGCCUUGUUACCUGUGAGAGGAAGUGAGCAGCGAGGAGUCCUGUCAGUUCCGGAAGGAGUAUUUGGGUUACUGUUCUUCAUUGUCUGCAGUUCUGUCUUGCUCAGUCGCCCAGGCUGAAGUGCAGUGGUGUGA
rnacentral:lncRNA from 1 species